GUGCAGCCAACUAAGCUGACCGUGCUCUCUGUCCCAUGGGCCGGGUAAGCAAUGCUGCAGGCAGCAGGCGCUCCCCGGGCAGUGCGGGGCCUGUGGCUUGUAUUAUGCGCUGUAAUUAGGGACCUUGUAGACAGGU